rnacentral:rRNA from 1 species
UUUAUGGAGAGUUUGAUCCUGGCUCAGAGUGAACGCUGGCGGCGUGCCUAAUACAUGCAAGUCGAACGAUGAAGCUUCUAGCUUGCUAGAAUGCUGAUUAGUGGCGCACGGGUGAGUAACGCAUAGGUCAUGUGCCUCUUAGUUUGGGAUAGCCAUUGGAAACGAUGAUUAAUACCAGAUACUCCCUACGGGGGAAAGAUUUAUCGCUAAGAGAUCAGCCUAUGUCCUAUCAGCUUGUUGGUAAGGUAAUGGCUUACCAAGGCUAUGACGGGUAUCCGGCCUGAGAGGGUGAACGGACACACUGGAACUGAGACACGGUCCAGACUCCUACGGGAGGCAGCAGUAGGGAAUAUUGCUCAAUGGGGGAAACCCUGAAGCAGCAACGCCGCGUGGAGGAUGAAGGUUUUAGGAUUGUAAACUCCUUUUGUUAGAGAAGAUAAUGACGGUAUCUAACGAAUAAGCACCGGCUAACUCCGUGCCAGCAGCCGCGGUAAUACGGAGGGUGCAAGCGUUACUCGGAAUCACUGGGCGUAAAGAGCGCGUAGGCGGGAUAGUCAGUCAGGUGUGAAAUCCUAUGGCUUAACCAUAGAACUGCAUUUGAAACUACUAUUCUAGAGUGUGGGAGAGGUAGGUGGAAUUCUUGGUGUAGGGGUAAAAUCCGUAGAGAUCAAGAGGAAUACUCAUUGCGAAGGCGACCUGCUGGAACAUUACUGACGCUGAUUGCGCGAAAGCGUGGGGAGCAAACAGGAUUAGAUACCCUGGUAGUCCACGCCCUAAACGAUGGAUGCUAGUUGUUGGAGGGCUUAGUCUCUCCAGUAAUGCAGCUAACGCAUUAAGCAUCCCGCCUGGGGAGUACGGUCGCAAGAUUAAAACUCAAAGGAAUAGACGGGGACCCGCACAAGCGGUGGAGCAUGUGGUUUAAUUCGAAGAUACACGAAGAACCUUACCUAGGCUUGACAUUGAGAGAAUCCGCUAGAAAUAGUGGAGUGUCUAGCUUGCUAGACCUUGAAAACAGGUGCUGCACGGCUGUCGUCAGCUCGUGUCGUGAGAUGUUGGGUUAAGUCCCGCAACGAGCGCAACCCCCUUUCUUAGUUGCUAACAGGUCAUGCUGAGAACUCUAAGGAUACUGCCUCCGUAAGGAGGAGGAAGGUGGGGACGACGUCAAGUCAUCAUGGCCCUUACGCCUAGGGCUACACACGUGCUACAAUGGGGUGCACAAAGAGAAGCAAUACUGCGAAGUGGAGCCAAUCUUCAAAACGCCUCUCAGUUCGGAUUGUAGGCUGCAACUCGCCUGCAUGAAGCUGGAAUCGCUAGUAAUCGCAAAUCAGCCAUGUUGCGGUGAAUACGUUCCCGGGUCUUGUACUCACCGCCCGUCACACCAUGGGAGUUGUGUUUGCCUUAAGUCAGGAUGCUAAAUUAGCUACUGCCCACGGCACACACAGCGACUGGGGUGAAGUCGUAACAAGGUAACCGUAGGUGAACCUGCGGUUGGAUCACCUCCUUU